rnacentral:rRNA from 1 species
GAUGAACGCUGGCGGCGUGCCUAAUACAUGCAAGUCGAGCGAACGGACGAGAAGCUUGCUUCUCUGAUGUUAGCGGCGGACGGGUGAGUAACACGUGGAUAACCUACCUAUAAGACUGGGAUAACUUCGGGAAACCGGAGCUAAUACCGGAUAAUAUUUUGAACCGCAUGGUUCAAAAGUAAAAGACGGUCUUGCUGUCACUUAUAGAUGGAUCCGCGCUGCAUUAGCUAGUUGGUAAGGUAACGGCUUACCAAGGCAACGAUGCAUAGCCGACCUGAGAGGGUGAUCGGCCACACUGGAACUGAGACACGGUCCAGACUCCUACGGGAGGCAGCAGUAGGGAAUCUUCCGCAAUGGGCGAAAGCCUGACGGAGCAACGCCGCGUGAGUGAUGAAGGUCUUCGGAUCGUAAAACUCUGUUAUUAGGGAAGAAUAUAUGUGUAAGUAACUGUGCACAUCUUGACGGUACCUAAUCAGAAAGCCACGGCUAACUACGUGCCAGCAGCCGCGGUAAUACGUAGGUGGCAAGCGUUAUCCGGAAUUAUUGGGCGUAAAGCGCGCGUAGGCGGUUUUUUAAGUCUGAUGUGAAAGCCCACGGCUCAACCGUGGAGGGUCAUUGGAAACUGGAAAACUUGAGUGCAGAAGAGGAAAGUGGAAUUCCAUGUGUAGCGGUGAAAUGCGCAGAGAUAUGGAGGAACACCAGUGGCGAAGGCGACUUUCUGGUCUGUAACUGACGCUGAUGUGCGAAAGCGUGGGGAUCAAACAGGAUUAGAUACCCUGGUAGUCCACGCCGUAAACGAUGAGUGCUAAGUGUUAGGGGGUUUCCGCCCCUUAGUGCUGCAGCUAACGCAUUAAGCACUCCGCCUGGGGAGUACGACCGCAAGGUUGAAACCCAAAGGAAUUGACGGGGACCCGCACAAGCGGUGGAGCAUGUGGUUUAAUUCGAAGCAACGCGAAGAACCUUACCAAAUCUUGACAUCCUUUGACAACUCUAGAGAUAGAGCCUUCCCCUUCGGGGGACAAAGUGACAGGUGGUGCAUGGUUGUCGUCAGCUCGUGUCGUGAGAUGUUGGGUUAAGUCCCGCAACGAGCGCAACCCUUAAGCUUAGUUGCCAUCAUUAAGUUGGGCACUCUAAGUUGACUGCCGGUGACAAACCGGAGGAAGGUGGGGAUGACGUCAAAUCAUCAUGCCCCUUAUGAUUUGGGCUACACACGUGCUACAAUGGACAAUACAAAGGGCAGCGAAACCGCGAGGUCAAGCAAAUCCCAUAAAGUUGUUCUCAGUUCGGAUUGUAGUCUGCAACUCGACUACAUGAAGCUGGAAUCGCUAGUAAUCGUAGAUCAGCAUGCUACGGUGAAUACGUUCCCGGGUCU